rnacentral:rRNA from 1 species
AUUGAACGCUGGCGGCAUGCUUUACACAUGCAAGUCGAACGGCAGCGGGGAGGUGCUUGCUUCUCUGCCGGCGAGUGGCGAACGGGUGAGUAAUACAUCGGAACGCGUCGAGAAGAGGGGGAUAACCACCCGAAAGGGUGGCUAAUACCGCAUAAAUUCUGAGGAAGAAAGCUGGGGACCUAGGAAUAGGCCUAGCGCUUUUUGAGCGGCCGAUGUCGGAUUAGCUAGUUGGUGUGGUAAAGGCUCACCAAGGCGAAGAUCUGUAGCGGGUCUGAGAGGAUGAUCGGCCACACUGGGACUGAGACACGGCCAAGACUCCUACGGGAGGCAGCAGUGGGGAAUGUUGGACAGUGGGGGCAACCCUGAUCCAGCGAUGCCGCGUGUAUGGAGAAGGCCUUGGGGUUGUAAAGUACUUUUGUUAGGGAAGAAAAGUCAGCUGUGAAUAAUGGCUGAUACUGACGGUACCUAAAGAAUAAGCACCGGCUAACUACGUG